rnacentral:tRNA from 1 species
GGGCCCGUAGUCUAACCUGGUCAGGACAGGAGCCUCCGGAGCUCUAGAUCCGGGUUCAAAUCCCGGCGGGCCCG